AACGAACGCUGGCGGCAUGCCUAACACAUGCAAGUCGAACGAGACCUUCGGGUCUAGUGGCGCACGGGUGCGUAACGCGUGGGAACCUGCCCUUAGGUUCGGAAUAACUCCCCGAAAGGGGUGCUAAUACCGGAUAAUGUCUUCGGACCAAAGAUUUAUCGCCUUUGGAUGGGCCCGCGUUGGAUUAGCUAGUUGGUAGGGUAAAAGCCUACCAAGGCGACGAUCCAUAGCUGGUCUGAGAGGAUGAUCAGCCACACUGGGACUGAGACACGGCCCAGACUCGUACGGGAGGCAGCAGUGGGGAAUAUAGGACAAUGGGCGAAAGCCUGAUCCAGCAAUGCCGCGUGAGUGAUGAAGGCCUUAGGGUUGUAAAGCUCUUUUACCCGGGAUGAUAAUGACAGUACCGGGAGAAUAAGCACCGGCUAACUCCGUG
rnacentral:rRNA from 1 species